UUCAAUUCAUCAUGUACACUGCUACCAAAUUUAUUCUUCCUGGUUCAUACAUAUUAUGUGUUUUUCUUCUACUUAAAAAUCCUUCGAAACAUUAUAUUUCCUAUAGAAUAAAGCAUUUAACUGGAAAUACUAAGAUCUUUCAUAAAUUGGCAAUAAACUCUAUUCCCAGGCUUUUCCCCUUCCCAGCAGUUCCCAAUGCAACAAUUUGGGGGUCUGUAUUAGUCCUGUCUCACACUUCUAUAAAGAAAUAGCCAAGACUGGGUAAUUUACAAAGAAAGAGGUUUAAUUGACUCAAAGCUCCUCACGGUUGGAAAGGGCUUAGAAAACUUACGAUCAUGGCAGAAUGGGAAGCAGGCACCUUCUUCACAAGGUGGCAGGAGAGAGUAGUACAGAGCAAAGA